GCCACGUGGCUCGGUGGCAAAGCGUCAGCUUUUCAUGCAGAAGGCUCCAGGUUCAAGUCCUGCCGGAGGCG